CGAGCGCGAACGUUCCUUCGGGAACAAGUAGAGCGGCGGACGGGUGAGUAACGCGUGGGAAAUUGCCCAGUAGUGGGGGACAACAUUCGGAAACGGAUGCUAAUACCGCAUACGCCCUACGGGGGAAAGCAGGGGAUCUUCGGACCUUGCGCUAUUGGAUAUGCCCGCGUCGGAUUAGCUAGUUGGUGAGGUAAUGGCUCACCAAGGCAACGAUCCGUAGCUGGUCUGAGAGGAUGAUCAGCCACACUGGGACUGAGACACGGCCCAGACUCCUACGGGAGGCAGCAGUGGGGAAUAUUGGACAAUGGGCGCAAGCCUGAUCCAGCCAUGCCGCGUGUGUGAAGAAGGCCCUAGGGUUGUAAAGCACUUUCAGUAGGGAGGAAGGCCUUAAAGUUAAUACCUUUGAGGAUUGACGUUACCUACAGAAGAAGCACCGGCUAACUCCGUGCCAGCAGCCGCGGUAAUACGGAGGGUGCGAGCGUUAAUCGGAAUUACUGGGCGUAAAGCGCGCGUAGGCGGUUAGUUAAGCUGGAUGUGAAAGCCCCGGGCUCAACCUGGGAACUGCAUUCAGAACUGGCUGGCUAGAGUACGAGAGAGGGUAGUGGAAUUUCCUGUGUAGCGGUGAAAUGCGUAGAUAUAGGAAGGAACAUCAGUGGCGAA
rnacentral:rRNA from 1 species